AACUCUGUUUGGAAAGCUGGAAGAACAUCAACAAGCAUUAGAAAGUCUUGAAAAGUUUGAGAACAAAAGUAAGAAGGAAAAGGAGAAGAAAAGAGACAAAGAGGGAGAGAAGUAACUCUGUUUGGAAAGCUGGAAGAACAUCAACAAGCAUUAGAAAGUCUUGAAAAGUUUGAGAACAAAAGUAAGAAGGAAAAGGAGAAGAAAAGAGACAAAGAGGGAGAGAAGAAGCCAAUAGCUCUUAUGGCCUCUAGCUCUAAGUCCUCACGAAAAGAGCAAAGUGACA
rnacentral:lncRNA from 1 species